rnacentral:rRNA from 1 species
CGAUAGAACAACAGGGAUUGCCUUAGUAGCGGCGAGUGAAGCGGCAAAAGCUCAAAUUUGAAAUCUGGCACCUUCGGUGUCCGAGUUGUAAUUUGAAGAUUGUAACCUUGGGGUUGGCUCUUGUCUAUGUUUCUUGGAACAGGACGUCACAGAGGGUGAGAAUCCCGUGCGAUGAGAUGCCCAAUCCUAUGUAAGGUGCUUUCGAAGAGUCGAGUUGUUUGGGAAUGCAGCUCUAAGUGGGUGGUAAAUUCCAUCUAAAGCUAAAUAUUGGCGAGAGACCGAUAGCGAACAAGUACAGUGAUGGAAAGAUGAAAAGAACUUUGAAAAGAGAGUGAAAAAGUACGUGAAAUUGUUGAAAGGGAAGGGUUUGAGAUCAGACUCGAUAUUUUGUGAGCCUUGCCUUCGUGGCGGGGUGACCCGCAGCUUAUCGGGCCAGCAUCGGUUUGGGCGGUAGGAUAAUGGCGUAGGAAUGUGACUUUGCUUCGGUGAAGUGUUAUAGCCUGCGUUGAUGCUGCCUGCCUAGACCGAGGACUGCGAUUUUAUCAAGGAUGCUGGCAUAAUGAUCCCAAACCGCCCGUCUUGAAACACGGACCAAGGAGUCUAACGUCUAUGCGAGUGUUUGGGGUGGAA